rnacentral:tRNA from 1 species
ACUGGAGAGUUUGGGUGGAAUACUUUAUUGUAAAUAAAGAGGGUUUCUAGUUAA